rnacentral:rRNA from 1 species
CAUUUACCGAAGUUUACAACUCCCAAACCCAAUGUGAACCAUACCAAACUGUUGCCUCGGCGGGGUCACGCCCCGGGUGCGUCGCAGCCCCGGAACCAGGCGCCCGCCGGAGGGACCAACCAAACUCUUUCUGUAGUCCCCUCGCGGACGUUAUUUCUUACAGCUCUGAGCAAAAAUUCAAAAUGAAUCAAAACUUUCAACAACGGAUCUCUUGGUUCUGGCAUCGAUGAAGAACGCAGCGAAAUGCGAUAAGUAAUGUGAAUUGCAGAAUUCAGUGAAUCAUCGAAUCUUUGAACGCACAUUGCGCCCGCCAGUAUUCUGGCGGGCAUGCCUGUCCGAGCGUCAUUUCAACCCUCGAACCCCUCCGGGGGUCCGGCGUUGGGGAUCGGGAACCCCUAAGACGGGAUCCCGGCCCCGAAAUACAGUGGCGGUCUCGCCGCAGCCUCUCAUGCGCAGUAGUUUGCACAACUCGCACCGGGAGCGCGGCGCGUCCACGUCCGUAAAACACCCAACUUCUGAAAUGUUGACCUCGGAUCAGGUAGGAAUACCCGCUGAACUUA